AGAGUUUGAUCAUGGCUCAGCCUGAACGCUGGCGGCGUGGCUAAGACAUGCAAGUCGCACGGAGGUAGCAAUACCUCAGUGGCGAACGGGUGAGUAAUGAAUCGCUAAUGUGCCCCGGACUCUGGGAUAGCUGCCCGAAAGGGCAGGUAAUACCAGAUGAUAUAACCGAAUCGCAUGAUUUGGUUCUCAAAGGUCCGCCGGUCUGGGAGCAGGCGAUUUUGUAUCAGCUAGUUGGUGAGGUAACGGCUCACCAAGGCGACGACGCAUAGCCGGACUGAGAGGUUGGCCGGCCACAUUGGGACUGAGACACUGCCCAGACUCCUACGGGGGGCUGCAGUAACGAAUCUUCCGCAAUGUACGAAAGUAUGACGGAGCGACGCCGCGUGCAGGACGAAGCCCUUCGGGGUGUAAACUGCUGUCAGGGGUUAGAAAGUUCUGAUCAACCCCAGAGGAAGGCACGGCUAACUCUGUGCCAGCAGCCGCGGUAAUUC
rnacentral:rRNA from 1 species